GCAGUCCACACUCAAUCCACUGAGGCACACCACCAGCCAGGCCAGGUUGGGACAGUGUUCAUGUAAACUAUUAUACAGUGUAGAAACUGCAGUAAUGGAAUUUGUACAAGAUUCACAGGAAAAUGUAGUUAGAGAUGGGCAGAGUGGGAGUGGGGUAAAUGUUAAGGUAUUUGAAAUGUUUUUGAAGUAUUGUAUAAACAGGAGUUCCACGUGUGUAUCAGUAGAGGGAACAGCCUGUACAAAUGAUUGGCAAAUGUGAAAAAGCUUAGUUUGUUGGGAGAAUGAUGGAUGAAUCAUUUCGUGUUGAAUAAAGGGUGGGAGAAGAUAAACACAGGUCAUGAUGGGCCAUGUAUGC